GAUGAACGCUGGCGGCGUGCCUAAUACAUGCAAGUCGAGCGAACGGACGAGAAGCUUGCUUCUCUGAUGUUAGCGGCGGACGGGUGAGUAACACGUGGAUAACCCACCUAUAAGACUGGGAUAACUUCGGGAAACCGGAGCUAAUACCGGAUAAUAUUUUGAACCGCAUGGUUCAAAAGUGAAAGACGGUCUUGCUGUCACUUAUGGAUGGAUCCGCGCUGCAUUAGCUAGUUGGUAAGGUAACGGCUUACCAAGGCAACGAUGCAUAGCCGACCUGAGAGGGUGAUCGGCCACACUGGAACUGAGACACGGUCCAGACUCCUACGGGAGGCAGCAGUAGGGAAUCUUCCGCAAUGGGCGAAAGCCUGACGGAGCAACGCCGCGUGAGUGAUGAAGGUCUUCGGAUCGUAAAACUCUGUUAUUAGGGAAGAACAUAUGUGUAAGUAACUGUGCACAUCUUGACGGUACCUAAUCAGAAAGCCACGGCUAACUACGUG
rnacentral:rRNA from 1 species